rnacentral:lncRNA from 1 species
UAUGAAAUGUCAGAUAAUAGAUGUGGCUAAUAAAACAGCUGAGGGAGAGUGCCAGAAAUUCACAAAUAUUUGCAAUAAGGUGGUGGAAGAUCAAAUCAAAUGCCACCCAAGAUAUAUGGAACCACGUGCCCCUAUUGUAUUGUUUAUCAGCAAAGAAUAACUUAACUCUGAGAAAAACACCCUUAAGCUUUCUAGAGUCUUCAAAAACCCACUUGGUAAAUUGUCACUUCAUAUUCUAACUGGUACCAAGGUUAGCUAAUAGAGUUAACUGAAUAUCUGUACCUGUUAAUCUCAGGACUCAUUCAGAAAGUACAGGAAUACUAUAAAAUGGAUUAGUUUUCUGUUGUUUUAGCAGUCAGCCUUCCUACUGCUCUUCCCUGUCAGAUGUCUGUUUAUUCAGUUGGCCUAUCUUGAGAACAGUUUUUAGAAACAGAGAAGUAAAAUAUCACCUAAGACAAAUAGAAUGUUAACUGUAAGAGUAAUUUAGGUCCCGAAAUAACAGAAAGAAUUUAUUUCUAAGUCAAAUAUUAGGUAAUAUCCUGGAAGACAUUUAUCUCAAGUGCCCAAUAGUCCACUUCAUUUUAACAGUGACAUAAAUCCCAAUAAACUCAGGUGACAUUAUGAGGUUAUUCAUUUCUUAGUACCUGCUCUCGUUACCUUUUCUUUCUAGUGGUUGUAAAUCUUUGAAACAAGAUUCAUUGAUGUAUUCAUUCAUACAUUAAUUCAUUUCACAACAUUAUUGAAUGCCUAUCUUUAUUUGUAAUUUUAUGUAAGUUUUUAAUGCAGUAAAACUUACAUAGGUAAAGGUACACAAAUCAUAAAAUAUGGCUCAGUGAAUUAUCAUAAAAUAAAUACACUCAUGGACUCACCAUGACCCAAGUCAGGAAACAGAAAAUUUUCAGCAUCCCCAAAUCCCCUUUGUGCAUACUGCUAAUCGCUAUCUCCUCCCAAAGGUAACUACUAUCCUGGCCUCUUACCUGUUUUAGACUUUGUACACAUGGAAUCAUCCUGGAUGUGUUUUGUCUAUGUCUGGAUUCUUAGUGUUAUUUUUUGGAGAUUUAUGCAAGUUGUAUAAAACAUUAUAUCACUCAUUACUGCAUUAUUUCAUUGUCUAAGUAAACCACAGUGACUUCAACCAUUCUAUUCAACUAGGGGGAUAUUUCUAGUUGGGGGGUAUUAAAAAUAUUAUUACUUUGAAUGUUAUUUAUAUAUAUGCUUUAUACAUAUCUCUGCAUUUCUGCCUAUAAUGCGUGUUGUAAAAUAGACAUCUCUUAAGCAAAUAGCCCAUUGUUAACCCAUUGUAUUUUUAUCUAGGCCUACUCAUAUAAUUACCACUAAUAUUGAGAUCACUCCCAGAUAAUUCCUCAAGAUCUUUCCAUAUGCUUAAACCCUUUAAAAAAUAAUUUCUAGUUGUCUAGCAUAUGAUCCUCUCAUAAUUCCUUAAGCGUAUUAUUCAUAGUUCUUUAAAAGUCCCAGUGUGAAAAUUCUAUUUUAUUUACCUUCUAAGAGUCUGUUGCCUGUUCUUUUAGCUUUUCUAUAAAUUCUUAUAUUUUCAUAUGACUAAUUAUUUUUGAUUGAGAGCUAAGCAUUAUAUAUGGAAAUGCAUAGAAAUAAUUUGAGGCUCCCUUCCUUCAGAGAUGAUUUGCUUUUGCCUCGGAUAGGCAGCUCUGCUGUUGAUUCAUCACUGUAACUCAGUCAGAAUGAGAUGAUUUGUAACUGGUUUUAGACCUUAAGAAACCUCUUUAUUUUUACUUCAUUCUCACUCCUGGGAUACAGCCUUGCUGCUUUUCAGCCCCAAACUGGGGAGGUUUUCCAGGUCGUCUUGUCCUUGGGAGGCCAUGACUUCAAAUGUCUGUCUCCAGUCUCACUGGAAGUGGUGGCAACUCUGAUAGAUUCUCGGACAAUCAGCUACUUCACCUUCACUCCCAACCGUGUGCUCUGCCAGGCAGAUGCUCUUCCAAAUGCUGGGCUCACCUCUCUGGAUUUCCUAUUUUACUCUAUCCUACACCCUGAAAAUUCCCAUUGUCUUAGUCUUCCAGUGCAUUCAAAGAUGAAAAAACAUUUUGUAAUGCUUUUAUCUAGUUGUUCUCUAGGACAUUAGAACCAAAGCAGAUUAGUUUGCUUUUGCCAGAAGCCCAGCUCCUUGAGUGCUUUUACAAAUACAGGCUCUGCAUAAGGGAUUUCAGACACAAGAAACAAUUCCUGCCCUCAAGCAACUUUCAGUGUUCUAGAAGAGACAGAAAUAUAGAAAACAAACCAAAACCUUACACUACCAUGUGAUGAGGGCUAUAAUAGAAGCAAGGAUUAGGGACAGCCGCAGCACGAAGAAGCGAUAAUUAACUAUGUGUUGUGUGUGUCGGAAAAGUCUUAACAAACUAGGAAAUUCUGGGCUGAGGGAAAAAAAAAGGCAUUGUCUUAUUAAACGGUGGAAUAAAUGGAAAGUAGAGAAAAGAGUGCUUUGUAAGUCAACCAGGAAGUAACCCUUGAGCUGAGAUUUAGAGUGAAUGGGAGUUUUCCUAUAGAUCAGGAAAGGAAUGAGGGUAGGGCAUUUCAGGCCCAGGGAAGAUAACGCACAAAGUCUAGGCUGAUUUCCAGGUCUCUCUUUCAUCCUCUCUCCUUUCUCCCAGGUGAAUAUUUUCUAAUUGUGAGGACACUGAGGGGGGUUCCCUCAAGACACCCUCAUCCAUCUUAGAAGGUGUUUCCAAACAUUUUAUUUUCUCUAUAGUCAAUUAUAAGCUUUAGGUUCCUGGAACUAAAGUCAGGAGGGAAUCUAAAGCAUGUCUGUUUCUACCAAACCCAGUGUCUUCAUCUUCUUCAAAGGUUAGAUUCAUAAACACAACUGGUUUGGCUUUUUAAAUGACUGGCAGUUCAACAACGACAACAAGAAUUGCCCCCCCCAUCAAUACCCCCCCCAAAAAAAACCCAACCCCCAAACCAAAACAAAAACCCAAACCCAAAACACAGUCAGACCUAGGAAUAUAAGCAGAAAACCCAGAAACCAGGACAGGAUUUUGGCCAUCUGCUUCAUAUAAGCUGAUUUCUAAGCUAUGCCUUUUGAUUGAAAUGGCUCUAUAUAAACAUCUGGUUCAACCUUUACAAUAGUCAAUUUUUCUCUUUUGGCUUGACUUAUUUUUACUGAACUUGGCCUUCAUAAUGGGCUCAUCAGUUUAGUGCAGACAUGGUCUGUGUGUAUUAUUUUUUUCAAACAACGUGGCAGAAUUCAGGAGCUCGUUUAUGAAAAACAGACUGAUAACCCAGAGCACAUUGAGACAGGGUUUUUUUUUUUUUUUUUCUGCUUACAGCCAUGGGUUUUUACUUUAGCUGUUCUGGAAUCCUGCUGGAGACAAUAGAGGGAGAAUUUCCAAGAAGCUAUUAUGUCUUGCUAUUAUUGUGGGAAUGAGGAUUUCAUUAAAAGAGAUUAGUCAAAGAAAAUACAGAGACAGUGAUUCCAGGCAAAACAAUUUGUUAUUUUAGCAGUCUAUCCAUAUCAGAAAUCUGGUUCUUAUGUGCUCUUUCCUUUCCUCUUACAUUGCCUCCAUUCUGCUUUUGGGUUCCUUCUUCAGGGAAGAAGCAUUCUCAGUCAUACUUGCUAAUGCUGGGGACCCUUAAUAAGUCACAGACUUUAGUUAUAUUUCCGGAGUGCUCUUUACUGCAGUUGGUCUUAUGUGGAAUUCAUUCAAAACAUGGUUAAUUAUCACGUAAACCAAAACUCUCUUCUGUUCAUCUGCAGCUGCAGGUUUUUUGGAGGUUGUUCUGUUGUUUGUUUUGAUAUUGGCAGUAGUGAUGUGGCUUCUGGGAGAAUGUAUAGGAGUGAGCUUAGGGUUUUAGGCUAGGACAAAAAAGGAGGGCUUGACUGUUUUGCUACCUUUGCAAUCUUAUUUGGAUUGGAUGGCUGUUUUGCUACCUUUGCAAUCUUAUUCUCCCAUCAGAUUAUAUUCUCUUUUGAUGCAUUACCUUUCAAGUCUAAGGAAUAUUUUUUUCUUUCCAUUUUUAGUUUGAUAACUCAGGAAAUUAUUAUAGUCCUACAUAACUUUCAAGGAAAUCAUACCUAAACUUCUCUCAUGGUUGAAAACUUUGCUCUCUCUUCCACAAGAUGAGUAUACUAAUGUUUUUCCAUGGCUUGUAAGCCAAGAAACAUAUCUCAAAAUAACAGAGUAUAUACAAGUAUAUAGCUAAGGGACUUUGGAUUAUUUAUCAUUUUGUAUCCAGCAUCUGGGUGGAGCCUAAGGUUAGAUCAAGUGAAAGGGAAACGAAUGUUUAUUGAGGGCCACUUCGGGGCUCUGUACUUUACUUGGUGGGUGCUGUUUAAUACUGGUAAUUACCCCUGUGAGGAAGGUGUUCUCAGCAGUUUAAAGCUGAGAACAGAGUUUGGUAUGUGACAUAGAAGCAACAAAACUUUGUUGUUAAGUCUUCAUUUGGAAAGAGUCUCAUGAUUUGAAGUUUUUGUUCAGUUGUCUAAAUAAGGAAUUAGGCAUUUUUGUAGUUUGGAGAUACUACUUUCUUGGGAUUUAGCAGAAUUUUCCAGGCUGAGAGAUAAUAGGAAACUUGAUUUUUCAAUCAUAUUAUUAUCUUAGUAAAGGAAAAAGAGAAGUUCCUGCUUAUGUAAUAUCAAAGUGAGUAUCCACUUGACGAAUGUGACUGAAUGUGUCUUAUUAAACUUAUUGAACAUUUUAUCUCCUUUAGAUCUUGAAGUUAUUUGGGACAAAUGAGCAUAUGUGUUUUACAAUAUCAGUUAAAUGGCUUAAAAUGGAACUAUUUUGUUUCUUUUAUUAUUUCAUCAUUUCACCGUACCAGAACAUUUGAUUAUAUUCUACUUUAGGGAAGUUGGGGCUUUAAGAUGGUGCUCUUUUACCAUCUGAAUUUUAGGUCCCUAUGAUUUUGGAGACAGAAUCUAUCACUAUUCAUCAGUGUGAAUGGUCCUCUUGUUAUUCUAUGCCCAUUCCCAGGCAUGUAGGCUAAGGAUUCUUUUGAUUUUGCUGUCUUUCACUGCUCUGUAACGGAGGAAUUUACAGGCCUAUGUUUGAAGGACCAUUAAAGUAAAGCAAAAGGAGCAAUGUUUCUCAGGCAUCUGUUUGUGCUAGGAGUAGGACUGUCAGAUUUAGUAAAUGAAAAGAUAAGAAAUCUAGGAGUUCCCAUUGUGGUGCAGUGGUUAACGAACCAUGAACCGGACUAGGAACCAUGGGGUUGCUUGUUCGGUCCCUGCCCUUGCUCAGUGGGUUAAUGAUCCAGCAUUGCUGUGAGCUGUGGUGUCAGUUGCAGACGCGGCUGGGAUCCCGCAUUGCUGUGGCUCUGGCGUAGGCUGGUGGCUACAGCUCCGAUUGGACCCCUAGCCUGGGAACUUCCAUAUGCCGCAGGAGCGGCCCAAAGAA